AUCCUCCAUGGUAUAUAAAAACAAAACCUCAAGGGAAGGAUCGGAGGUCGGACAAGCCGGACCUGAAGCUGAUUGUGAGGCCUAACUGCCGGUAGGGAGGUUUCGAUGAUGGGUUCGAUUGGUGGGACAAAGGAUGUGGAAGAGAAUUUCAUUAAUAAAGAUUUCAGUUGUAGCGAGAGGGCUCGAAAGAGGGCCAUGAGUGAGUGUGGAGGGUGGCACUUGGAAACCACAUCGACAG
rnacentral:lncRNA from 1 species